rnacentral:rRNA from 1 species
CUCGCGACUUCAAUCACACCCUCACUGACUACCUGAAUGACAAGAGCAUCAUCGGUGUCAUGCACAACGCCGAGGAUAUGAUUCUCGUCCCAUGCGACCUGGGCUUUCUGAGGUGCACCUUCGGCGACCGGUUGACGGUGUAUCCGCUGGGCGGCCAGUGAGGUAACCUCAAGUACCGCGUCAAUAGAAACGACGUGCUGGACUACUUCCGUGGCUGAGCCGAUCCUGAUGGUAUUGAUUCUUACCUUGCUGCUGGGACACUCACUGGGCACUGGCGGCCGACGAAUACGGCUUCAAAGGCCCACUGCAAAACCUGCAAUUCAAUCCGGGCUUGGACGAGCGUGAAUUUGAACGCGCCACGCUCAACGCGUUGAGCGUCUACGACCCCUUGGAGUCAUGGAACCGCCGCGUUUAUCACUUCAACUACCGCUUUGAUGAGUGGGUUUUUCUGCCGAUUGUCGUGUUAUUCGCACCAUCACCCCCAAUAGGUUCGAU